GUGAGGAAUAUUGCGCAAUGGAGGCAACUCUGACGCAGCCAUGCCGCGUGCAGGAAGAAGGCGCUACGCGUUGUAAACUGCUUUUAACCGGGAAGAAACCCCAGGACGUGUCCUGGGUUGACGGUACCGGAGGAAUAAGCACCGGCUAACUUCGUGCCAGCAGCCGUGGUAAUACGAAGGGUGCACGCGUUAUCCGGAUUCAUUGGGUUUAAAGGGUGCGUAGGCGGAGCGUUAAGUCAGUGGUGAAAUCCUGCAGCUUAACUGUAGACUUGCCAUUGAUACUGGCGCUCUUGAGUGCGCUUGAAGUGGGCGGAAUGUGCCGUGUAGCGGUGAAAUGCUUAGAUAUGGCACAGAACACCAAUUGCGAAGGCAGCUCACUAAGGCGAUACUGACGCUGAGGCACGAAAGCGUGGGGAUCGAACAGGAUUAGAUACCCGUGUAGUCC
rnacentral:rRNA from 1 species